AGCUAAAAAACAAAAAUUGUGUCCCAGUUUCGACCUGGUAUUAUGGCUAUUUUAAGCCUUUAGCU
rnacentral:tRNA from 1 species